rnacentral:lncRNA from 1 species
AGCUAAUUCAUUUCCUGGUAAGGGCUCUCUACCUGUCUUGUAGGUGGUCACGUUCUUGCUGUGUCCUCACAUGGCAGAGAAAGAGAAUGCUGUUAUGGUGUCUCUUAUAAGGGCACUUAUUCCAUUAUGGAGACUCUCUCCUCAUGAUGUCAUCUGAUACCUCCAAAAAGCCAAAUACUAUCACACUGAUUUGGUGGUUAUGGAUUCUCAUAUGAAUUUUGGGGACACAAGUCUAUUCCUAACUACUAUCUUCUAUCACUAUCAUUUAAUAGUAUUUUCAGUACCAAAAAAGUAGGAAGAUAUAAACAACUUAUUUAGCAUCAUGAAUUAGUAAUUAUUACACUUAAGUUUCUCUUUACCACUGACAGAUAAAAUCUUCGUUUGAAACACUGCUAAACAGCAGGGCUACUCAAAGUAUGGUUCACUGGUCUCAUAAAUUUGCAGUAGGUGCUAAAUCAAUACAUCACUAAACACAGUUUAUUUCAGCUGACUUUUUUUUGGCAAUAAGGCUGUCAAUGAGGAGGGUGUAUAUUGAUUGCAUUUUAAAAAAAUUAUCAGUUAUUGAUGGACCUUUAUUCAUUUAUUUGUUUAUAUGUGGUGUUAGUAUAAUGUCAUCUGGCAAUUUUGAGUAGCACUAAAUAAGAUAUUACAGUUAACUAAGUAAAUAAGAUAAAGGAAUAAUAAAAGUCCUAUUUUUCAUACCCCUACUUUUCAACAAGUUCAGUCAUUCUAAAGACUACCCAGAAAGGCUGUUUUCUCUCUGAGAGGCAGACCACUCCACACAUCUUGGAGCAUUACUUUCAUUUCACUAAACAAACUCUUUAUGCUUUUCUAAAAAUGAACAAUACAAAAAAUACCAAAAACUAAAAAUUACUCAGGAAUGAUUUCCACUGCCUGAAUUAUAUGCUUUGCCUCUUUAGUAUUAUUUCUAUCAUUUUUAAAACUUCCAGACAGUGAAAUAAAAGAGAUAAUUUGCAUGUUUAUAUAUAUUUUUUUCAGAUGGUAGGCCAGGAUUGACAACAAGGGAACUGAUCUUACACAAAACAUUUCUGAAUAAAUAAAAUCACAAGUGAAGAUACUUGAAAGAUUCAGAGGUGCUUGCUUCCUGAUGGUAGAGAAGCCAACAAACACAAGGGCAGCUCUGAAAACUCAAGGAAACUAUUCACAUAACUCUACUGUAUUAGCCAUCAGCAGAUUGACACUGAAGAGAAGACAUAUGUGUGUAGCAAGUGUGGAAAAAGCCUUUUAUGUGAACUUCAACCUAAAAGUACACCAGAGAAUCCACUGUGGAGACAAACCUUAAAUUACAAUGACUGUGGAAAAACCUUUUGUCAAAGUUUUCACCUUAUUCUACAUCGAAGAAUCCACACUGAAGAAAGACUACAAAUAUGAUGCAGCCUUUUUUUUUUUUUUUUUUUUUGGUCAGUCCAACUCAAUUUACCAUCAUGGAAUCCACUCAGGAGAUAUCCUUUUAUAAAUGUGGGAAAGCUUUCAGAAGCAAGUCAUAUGUUGUUCAACAACAGAUGACACACAUGGGGAGAAACCAUAUAAAUAUAAUGUCUGUGGGAAAUGUGUCCGUCUUUUAUGUAUUUAUUUUGUAUUUUUAUUUAUUUGUUUAUUUAUUUUAUAAUGGCUUGAACUCAGAGUCACUGGACCACUGGGCCACAUCCCCGGCCCUCUUUGUAUUUUAUUAGAGACAGGGUCUCACUGAGUUGUUUAGUGCCUUGCUAAAUUGCUGAGGCUGGCUUUGAACUCGUGAUCCUCUGCCUCCGCCUCCCUAGUUGCUGGGAUUACAGUGGUGAGCCACCUGCUAGCUCAGUUUUGUCUGUCAAUCUAUCCAACAUUUGCUAAUUCAUUCUAACCAGAACGCUUUUAAAUGUGACAUGUAUGGAAAAGCAUUUAAUUAAAGUUCAAGUUGUUACUUACAUCAGAAAGUUCGUUUCAAAGAGGAAUUCUGAAAUGUGGUUGAUAAGGUAACUAAUCUAGUUGACACUCAUUUAGCACUGACCAGGACUGAGUCGACACUGGGAACAAUUUAGAAGUUUGCAAAUAGUCUAAUCCGAGUUUUUAGUAGUUCUGUCGUUCUUACUCAGUAGCAGGAAAGCCAUUUUGCCAAAGACAGUCACCAGCAUAUCCAUCAAUAAGCUUCACUGCCCUCCAUUAAAAAAAAAAAAAAAAAAUGAAGUCUAAUAUACAAAAAGUUAAAUGUUUCUGUUCGUUCUGUUCCUUUCUAGCCAAUUUUCCCCAAGAUUUCUGUGAUAACAGCCAAUUUGGUUCCAUAUUGGGCUUUGUCUUCAAUCUUUCAGAUUUUGUGCAUUUUCAAGAAUGAAUAUAAUUUAAAUGCAUUCAUUUGGCAAACAUUGUAGUGUCCACUGUGUGCUAGUAAUGAAUAAAACAGGCAAAAAUCUGUGCCUUCAUGGAGAUUACAUUCUGAUAGGAAUAGAGAAGACAAUAAAGGUGGUGGAAAGCGGAUUGUAGCUAGAGGGGAGGAAGAGAUCGCUGUUCUGGAGCAAGCAAAAAUACCAACUACAGAGAUUCCCUCCGGAUUAUUGGAGAGUGGGGUAAUCCCCUUUCCACCUGCCUCUUGGCUUCGAACUCAGUUUAGGUCCCUUGCUGCUUGUCCUGGCGGGGCAAACAGUCACAGCAGCCUCUGGGAAUGAAGGUACACUGUUUCUUUACGUUUACUUCUGAUGUAAUCUUUUACCUCUUCUAGCAAUUCUUUUCUCUAACCAACAGUUCUGAAACGGUAGAGUGCAUUAUAAUCCCCUGCAGUGGCAACCAAAAUUCAGAUUACCUGGCCCACCCUGAAUUUCAGAUUCAGAAGGUCUGGAAUGGGGCCAAUAAUUGGGAUUUCUAACAAAUUUUCUGCCAGUGCGACUGGUGGGGGUCGUACUUUGAGAAACAUGCUGUAAUUCUGAUGUGUUUCGUGGUUUAAUUGAUCGUCCCCUUCACCCCCACUCCCACUACGUGUUGUACACCGGAUUUGGUUGAUGAGGUUAAGAUGGAUGAAAGCAAACUCCUCAGCCAUCUAAACCGAGAGGAUUUUGCCAGUCUUAGUCACAGAUUGUUCCCACUUCCAUCCAACCCAAAUUUCAUGUUCUUUUCUUCCAUCUUGGUUUCUGUCACCAGUCUAGCAACCCCUUUUUUGUGGAGGAAUCCCAAGCUUUCAGCUACUUGGUUCAGUGUUUUUGCAAACUGAAACAUAAAUUUGAUCUUUAGGCAACAAUCAGAAUAACUCAUUCUUUUUUAGUGCUUCUAGAACUCUACCUCUAGAGGCUCAUCUACAAAAUGGGAAUAAAAUAGUACAUACUUCAUGAAGUUUUGUUAGGAUUAAAUGAUAACAAUAAUGUACCAUAUAUUUCAAAAAGCUAGAGGAAGGAAAUUUUUUUUUAAAAUCAUAAAAAGAUAAGUAUUUGAGGAGAUAGGCAAGUUUAAAAUGAUAUUAAAGGGCAGAGGUGCAGCUCCCUGGUACAGUGCUUGGCUAGCAUGCAUAGGCCCUAGGCUUCACCCUGACCUUACAUACAUACAUACAUGUUUUUUAAAAUGAUAGUACAUAGUGCAUAUAUGUAUCAAAAUAUCACACAAUUCUCCAAUAAAUAAAUGCAAUUUUUAUGUUUUAUGUAUCUGUUAAAUUUAAAAUAAAAAACUUAUGUCUAAGCAUUCCAUUUUCUUGGUGAUAAUUAAAUGGUAUUCUGCUUUUAAUUUCUACUGAGUGAGCAAUAUCCCUAGCCCUUUUAACUUAUUGAAAAGAGAUUUAGGGCUCAGUGGUAGAGCGCUUGCCUAGCACAUGUGAGGCCCUGGGUUCGCUCCUCAGCACCACAUAAAAAUAAAACAAAAUAAAGGUAUUGUGUACAACUAAAAAAUAAAUAUUAAAAAAGAGCUUUACCCAUUUCACCCAUUUCAAGUAUAUUGUUCAAAAGUUUAUAGUAUAUUCAGAGUUAUGUAAUUAUCAGCACAAUAAUUUUGCAAUAUUUUCAUCACUUCAAGAAGAAACCCUGCAUCUUCUAGUCCUCUAGUCUUCACUUUAACUCAUUUGCAUUCUCCAGCCCAGACAACUACCAGAUAACUAAUUUACUUUCUGUCCCUGCACAUUUGCCUGUUCUGGACAUUUCAUAUAAAGACCGUCAUAGAAUAUGUGAUCUUUCAUGUCUGGUUUCUUUAAUAUUAAAAUAACAUUUUCAAAGUUCAUAUUGUAGCAUGUAUUAAUACUUUGUUUCUUUUAUGGGUGAAUAACAUUCUGUUGUGUGCAUAAACCACAUUUUAUUUUUCCAUUCAUCACAUUUGUUGGGUUUCUACUUUUUGGCUAAAAUGAAUAAUGCCGAUAUGAACACUCUUGACAGAGUUUUCAUGUGGAUAUGUGUUUUCUUUUCUCUUGGACCUAUAUCUAAAAGGAAAUUAUAAUUACACUUGGUAACUCUAUGACAAACUGUUUUGCAAAGUAGUUACAACAUUUUAUAUUCUCAGGAAAAUGUAUUUCACUUCCUUUUCCUUCCAGGGUGGUAGUGGUGGUGCUGGGGAUUGAACUUAGGGUUUUUGUGCAUGUGAGGCAAGCACUCUACCAACCGAGCUAUAUCCCCAGCCCUCCUGUGCUCAGUUUUUAAUUGGGUUAUUUUUUCACCAUUGGUUUAUAAGGAUCUUUUAUAUAUUCUGCAUUCAGUUCUCUUAUCAAAUAUAUGGUUUGCAAAUAUUUUCUCCUAUCCUGUGGAUUUUAUUUUACUUUUUUGAUGGCAUUUUUAAAAACACAAAAUUUUUUAAUUUGUGAAGUCGAAUUUAUUUUUUUUCUUUUACACUUGUGCUUUGGUAUCAUAUCUAAGAAAUCUUUGCCUAGCUGAAUGUCAUAAAAAUAUACUCCUAUGUCUUCUUUAAGAGUUUUAUACUUUUAGCUUUUACAUUUAAGUUUAUGACACAUUUAGAGUUAACUUUUUCUUUUCUUUCUUUCUUUUUUUUUUUUUUCUUUUUUUUUUUAGUUCUGGGGACUGCAGCCAGGGCCUUGUGCAUGUGAGGCACCCACUCUACCAACUAGAGGCAACUUUUUAAAAGGUGUAAAGAAAGGUUUCAAAAACUGAAAAGAGCUAGUGUAAUCCCAGUGGCUCAGAAGGCUGAGGCAAAGAGGAUUGUAAGUUUAAAGCCAGCCUCAGCAAUUUAGCCAGGCCCUAAACAAUUUAUUGUUGUGUCAAACAACAAUAACAACAAAAGAAAACAAACAAACAAAACUGAAAGAUGAAGUUUGUUCACAGAUAUUUUUUGUUGUGUUAACCUUCUUCUUCUCUUCCUCCUCUUGGCGGAUAUUUUUUUUCCCCCAGCUAGUGUUUUUCUCCAUUUCUUCCUGUGGAUUUGAGUUACCAUCUGCUGUUACUUUUUUACUCAAUUACAGUUUGUUUCAUCCUGCCUUCUUUAUACUGUUACUGUCAAAUAUAUUACAUUUUUAUGUUAUAGAUCCCCUAAUACAUAUGUAUUAUUCUAUCAGUUUGUUAUUUAAAUCAGUUAAAAAUGAGUUAAGAAAAUAAUUAUACAAUUUAUUAUUAUCUUUUGUAAUUACCUAAUUACCUUUUUAAAAAAAAAUGUGGAUUCUGAAUUACUGUCUAGUGUCACUUGUUUUCAGCCUGAAGAACUUCCUUUACUGUUUCUUGUAAAGCAGGCCUUCUAGCAAUGAAUUCUCUGGGUUUUUGCUUAUCUGGGAGUGUCUUUCUUACUUCUUCAUUUUAAAAAUAUGAAGAAAUAUGAAGUGCCAUCUUCCUGGCACUACAAGGUGCUCUAGGUCCAUCUUGGAUGAUUCCUGCUCCAUUCCUCAUUUAAAAAAAAAAAAAAUUUUUUUUUUUUGGAGGGAAUUUCUACAUAGACAAUUAUGUCUUCUGUGAGCAAGUGUUUUCUUUCCUCCCAAUCUAUGUAUCUUUUCUUUCUUUUUCAUGACUUAGUGCAUUAACUAGGGCUUUCAGUACAAUGUUGAUUAGGAGUGAUGAGAAGAGAUACCCUUGCCUCACUGUUAGAGUCUGUAAACAAGUCAGGAUGGCGCCUGGCAAAUGUUAGAGUCUGUAAACAAAAUGUAAACAUUUUGCCAGAGGGAGUGGUUUGUGAAGUAACGCCACUGAGCCGUUAAGUGUGGAGAUUCCUUAUUGGCUGACUGCUGUAUGGAGUUUAUGCUAAUUAAGAUAAGCUGUGUGGAAUGUAUAAAUACCUCUGUGGUCCUACAAUAAACGGCAAAAUAACACCUGGCAUUUCGUUUGUGGUGUGUUAGAGUUCGUAAACAAGUCUGGAUGGUGCCUGGCAAAAUGCCAGAGGGAGUGGUUUGAGAAGUAACAAAAGCGAGCCAUUAAGUGUGGAGAUUCCUUAUUGGUUGACUGAUGUAUCUAGUUUAUGCUAAUUAGAUAAGCUGUGUGGAAUGUAUAAAUACUGCUCCUGUCCUGCAAUAAAGGGCUCCCACUCCUGCUGUAUCAAUCUACACAAGUUGUUCGUCACCCCCCGGUUAUUUUGCUGCAGCCGGACUGCGCCAGAUGGUGGCCCAUAGGGGAGCCCCGGGACACUCGGGGGUAAGUUGACGAGAAAAAGCUGCCCAUCCGUAGAUAGGACGGGAGCAAAUCUGCUCGUCCCUAGGCAGAUAGGGCGAGAGGAAAAAUGGCGAUAUUGAGAAAAUGGAAAAGAUUGAUACAGUAUGUUUGUGUCUUGUUUUGUCUUGAAAUGUUGUAUUGUCUUUGUGAUGAAAAUAUGGAAGGGGUGAGAAGUAAAUUACUAAGGGAAGGAGGCACCCCAGUGGAACCAAGAAUAGUUAGGGCAUGUGUUGAUAGAAGCCCAGGAACUCUAGUCAGAAAGAAAAAGAAGGUUCAGAAGAAGAAGGAUUAUCAGAAAAAAAGUUGCAACAAAAGGCUAUUACUGAAUACUUUUCGUUACCAGAGGGUGCAUAAAACGGCACAGCCGCUGCCACGUGCCCUCGAGCCGGUCAUGGCGCAGCAAGGGCUUUCCAAGCGGUGGCAACCGGCUCUUCCCCGCCCCCCGCCCGGGGAGCCGGACGCCACUGCGAGAGCCCAAAUCCAAACCUGUGCCUAGUAGCAGUUUGAGUCCGGGACUCUCCCCAGGGCUAUCUGGGGCUGCCCAGGACACUACAGGCGGAAGACUACUGCGUCCCUGAAGUUUGAUCAUUUCCAAGGCCAGUAACUACAAUGGUUCUCCCACACCUGGAAGCUAAUGAGUAAUGAGCACCAUUAAGGCUUAUUUCAAAUGUAAAAAACCUUGAGGUAAUGUACUAAAUUGUUCAGAAGGUUGUUUUCUUAGUGGAAUACUACAGGAUUUUCUUUAGCCAUCCGGAGUUCCUGCCUUCAUCCCAGUGCCGGUGAAGAUGAAGGUGGAAGAAUUUCCAGUGUUGCCGAGAACCUGACGAGACUUCUGAUCAAGCUAGCUGCCUGCAGAACUUACCUGGACUGUGAUUUAAGCUAGCUGCCUAUGGACUGGACUGUGAACUUACCUGGACUGUGAUUUACCUGGACUGUGAGUUAAUCUAUUGAGACACUGCUUUACCUGGACUGAGACAACAAACUGUAAUCUACAACAAAUUGUAACUUGGUAUCUUUGCAAAUGGUGUCAUUGCUGGUAUAAUUUUUCCAAAGGCUUCUUGCAUGGAGCCAUCAGUUGGCUUAGUAUUGUGCAUUUUGUAUCCUCCCCUUCUGCUUGUAGCAGAUUAUUUAUGGUGUUUGUGUAAAAACCACUAUGGUCCUUGUUUAAAUUAAACAAAAGGGUGAAAUGUUAGAGUCUGUAAACAAAAUGUAAACAUUUUGCCAGAGGGAGUGGUUUGUGAAGUAACGCCAGCGAGCGGUUAAGUGUGGAGAGUCCUUAUUGGUUGACUGCUGUAUGGAGUUUAUGCUAAUUAAGAUAAGCUGUGUAAAAUGUAUAAAUACCUCUGUUGUCCUAUAAUAAACGGCUCCCACUCGUGCUGUAUCAAUGUACACAAGUUGUUCGUCACCCCCCCCCCCCGCCGUUAUUUUGCUGCAGCCGGACUGCGGCACCUCACAACACAGUUUAAUGGUGUGGUGUGUAUACUAAAAAAUCCCUAGUGUGUCUAGGAACAAGUAACUCUCUUAUCUAAAAACAAUAAAAAUUUAAAACAUUGCAUU